rnacentral:snRNA from 1 species
GUCACGUCUCAGCCUUUUGGUUAAGAUCAAGUAUAAUGUCUGUUCUUAUCAUUUUAAUAUUUGAUAUGUCCUCUAUUUGAAGACAAUAUAUUAAAUGGAUUUUUGGACAUAGGAGAUGAAAUAGGAAUUUGCUUCGUUAGCUCCACAAUAUUGCAGAACCUCUAGGAAUGGGGCACCCUAC